ACAGAACCCAGCAGAUCAUGCCACCAGGUUUGUGGCAGCAGCCCACUUACCCCUUACCAACUGGUUCUCAGGUCCAGAGUUCCUUAGGGAAUGUGACCCUAUAGGAUGUAGUUUAGGAGAGUCAUAUGGACUUGUCAAAGCAGAAGAGGAUGUUGAAAUUCGCCCCCAAGUGAACACGCUGGCAACUAACGUCAAAGAGGACUUACUAGGCUCAAGCAGAUUUGAACGUUUCUCAAGCUGGAGAUCCUUGGUGAGAGCUGUCGCUACUCUGACGCACAUCGCAAAUUCAUUCUCACAAUCUUUUCCUGACACACUCUGUCGAAAAUGGCAUCUGUGUACUAAAACCUCAGGUGUGGAGAUAUCACAAGCCAAGGCGACUAUAGUCAAAACCGUCCAACGAGAAGUGUAUCAGGAAGAAUUUGAGAGUUUGACUAAGUUUGGUAAAGUCUCACAGCGUAGCACACUCCUGAGGCUUGACCCCUUUGUGGACAAUGAGGGUCUGUUAAGAGUUGGGGGUCGCAUUCACUGUGCUGACAUCUCUGAUCUAGAGAAGCAUCCCUUGAUAAUCCCUCCCAACCAUCACGUGACUGGUCUUUUAAUUCAGCAUUAUCAUGAUCAAGUGGCUCACCAAGGCCGGCAUUUUACUGAGGGUGCUAUACGUAGUGCUGGAUUGUGGAUAGUCAGUGGCAAAAGAUCUGUUUCAAAUAUCAUCCACAAAUGUGUGCUGUGCAAGAAACUGAGAGGUAAAAUGGAGAGUCAGAAGAUGUCGGCUUUGCCCUCAGAUAGAGUUUCUGUAGAUCCACCUUUCACACACACAGGUCUUGAUGUUUUUGGACCAUUCACUGUGGUGACACGUAAGACAAGAGGGCAUAACGCUGAGAACAAGCGAUGGGCUGUCAUAUUCAGUUGCUUAAAUACCAGAGCAGUUCACUUAGAGGUUGUGGAGUCUCUAUCAGCGUCAAGCUUUAUUUGUGCUUUGCGUCGCUUCUUGGCUGUCAGAGGACCAGUGAAGCACUUUCGUUCUGACAGGGGGACAAAUUUCAUUGGAGCAGUUAAGGAACUCCAAAUUGACAGUAGCGACUCAGAGUUGAAAGGCUUCUUGCAGAAUCAAGGUUGCACGUGGACCUUUAAUGCUCCACAUUCCUCCCAUAUGGGAGGAGUGUGGGAAAGAAUGAUCGGGAUUGCCAGACGUAUUUUGGAGGCUCUCUUGAUGAAAAUUCCCACAAGACUCACGCAUGAGGUCUUAACAACUUUAAUGGCAGAAGUCAUGGCCAU
ensembl:lncRNA